AAAAUAAUCCUACCCUUUGUGAAUUUUGUUUGUUUGAAUAAUUUUUUUUUUUUAAAAAUUAUUGGAGUCUUUCCCUUUAGAGUUUGCUUUUGAGUUUGUAAAAGAAUUCGAAAACAUCUAAAGGGGAUGGUCAAUAAUUUUUUUUGAAAAAAGACAUUUUUUAAAAUUAAACUUUUUGUAUUCAUUUGUCUAAAAAUUAUUUUUUAUAAUAUAAAAACAACUUUUGACAAUGGAUCUCUUGGUUCUCGCAACGAUGAAGAACGCAGCAAAAUGCGAUAAGUAGUGUGAACUGCAGAAUACGUGAUCAUCGAAUCUUUGAACGCAUAUUGCACUUUUUAGUUUACUAAAAAAGUAUGUCUGUUUGAGUAUCAGUAAAAUAUUCUCAUAAAAUCAUUGUGUAUUUUUAUGGUUAUGAGUGUUUUACAACGAUACAAGUUGUUUCACUUUAAAUUUUUUUUUAAUAUUGAAAUUUUUCUAAUUUUAAUAAUUAAAAUUGGAUAAAAUUUUCCCGUCAAAAGGAAUAACCUAAACAAUUUUAAAUGAUUAAUUUAGCAAAAUUUUCGAAAAAAAGGAAAAUUUUUAUUAAAAUAACUUGAUCUCAAAUCAGAUAAGAGUACCCGCUGAACUUAAGCAUAUCAAUAAGCGGAGGAAAAGAAACUAACAAGGAUUCCCUUAGUAACGGCGAGUGAAGCGGGAAGAGCUCAAAUUUGAAAUCUUCAAGGUUUUACCUUGACGAAUUGUAGUUUAAAGAAGUGUUUUCUGCUGAAGUUUUGGUAAAAGUUCUUUGGAAUAGGACAUCAUAGAGGGUGAGUAUCCCGUAUUUGACCAUUAUUUUCAGCUUUGUGAUACACUUUCAAAGAGUCGGAUUGUUUGGGAAUGCAGUCCAAAAUGGGUGGUAAAUUUCAUCUAAAGCUAAAUAUUGGCGAGAGACCGAUAGCGAACAAGUACCGUGAGGGAAAGAUGAAAAGAACUUUGAAAGAGAGUUAAACAGUACGUGAAAUUGUCAAAAGGGAAGCGUUUGACACCAGUGUUGUUUUCUCGAAAAUCAAUUAAAAAUGGCUCGAUUUUGUAUUGCUUGAGACCUUAAAAGCUCACUGUACAUUUUUCGUGUCUUUUUUAAUGCACUUUUCGUUUAACAAGUCAACAUCAGUUUCUUUUGUUGUAAAAGGGUCAUUGGAAGGUGGCUUUCUUUUCGGAGAAAGUGUUUAUAGCCUUUGGCCUCUGCAAUCGAGAGACUGAGGUCUGCAGCGUAGACUCUUCGGGGUUAGAUACAUUUGUGCUAAGUUAUAGCUUUUUAUAGACAACUUGUUGACUAUAAUUAGUCUUGUAGCUUACUCGCUUAUGCUAUUUUACCUACGCUUAGGAUG
rnacentral:misc_RNA from 1 species